AUUGAACGCUGGCGGCAUGCUUUACACAUGCAAGUCGAACGGUAACAGGCCGCAAGGUGCUGACGAGUGGCGAACGGGUGAGUAAUGCAUCGGAACGUGCCCAGUCGUGGGGGAUAACGCAGCGAAAGCUGCGCUAAUACCGCAUACGAUCUGUGGAUGAAAGCGGGGGACCGAAAGGCCUCGCGCGAUUGGAGCGGCCGAUGUCAGAUUAGGUAGUUGGUGGGGUAAAGGCCCACCAAGCCAACGAUCUGUAGCUGGUCUGAGAGGACGACCAGCAACACUGGGACUGAGACACGGCCCAGACUCCUACGGGAGGCAGCAGUGGGGAAUUUUGGACAAUGGGCGCAAGCCUGAUCCAGCAAUGCCGCGUGCAGGAAGAAGGCCUUCGGGUUGUAAACUGCUUUUGUACGGAACGAAACGGCUCUGGUUAGUACCUGGGGCUAAUGACGGUACCGUAAGAAUAAGCACCGGCUAACUACGUGCCAGCCGCCGCGGUAAUAC
rnacentral:rRNA from 1 species